AUUGAACGCUGGCGGCAUGCCUUACACAUGCAAGUCGAACGGCAGCACGGGUGCUUGCACCUGGUGGCGAGUGGCGAACGGGUGAGUAAUACAUCGGAACAUGUCCUGUAGUGGGGGAUAGCCCGGCGAAAGCCGGAUUAAUACCGCAUACGAUCUACGGAUGAAAGCGGGGGACCUUCGGGCCUCGCGCUAUAGGGUUGGCCGAUGGCUGAUUAGCUAGUUGGUGGGGUAAAGGCCUACCAAGGCGACGAUCAGUAGCUGGUCUGAGAGGACGACCAGCCACACUGGGACUGAGACACGGCCCAGACUCCUACGGGAGGCAGCAGUGGGGAAUUUUGGACAAUGGGCGAAAGCCUGAUCCAGCAAUGCCGCGUGUGUGAAGAAGGCCUCCGGGUUGUAAAGCACUUUUGUCCGGAAAGAAAUCCUUGGCCCUAAUACGGUCGGGGGAUGACGGUACCGGAAGAAUAAGCACCGGCUAACUACGUG
rnacentral:rRNA from 1 species